rnacentral:rRNA from 1 species
AUUGAACGCUGGCGGCAGGCCUAACACAUGCAAGUCGAACGAGUGGCGGACGGGUGAGUAAUGUCUGGGAAACUGCCUGAUGGAGGGGGAUGACUACUGGAAACGGUAGCUAAUACCGCAUACACUGCGAUGGGCCCAGGUGGGUGUAGCUAGUUGGUGGGGUAAAGGUUAACCAAGGGGACGAUCCAUAGCUGGUCUGAGAGGGUGACCAGCCACACUGGAACGGAGACACGGUCCAGACUCCUACGGGAGGCAGCAGUGGGGAAUAUUGCACAAUGGGCGCAAGCCUGAUGCAGCCAUGCCGCGUGUAUGAAGAAGGCCUUCGGGUUGUAAAGCACUUUCAGCGGGGAAGCGUUACCCGCAGAAGAAGCACCGGCUAACUCCGUGCCAGCAGCCGCGGUAAUAC